rnacentral:rRNA from 1 species
AGAGUUUGAUCCUGGCUCAGGAUGAACGCUAGCUACAGGCUUAACACAUGCAAGUCGAGGGGAAACGACAUCGAAAGCUUGCUUUUGAUGGGCGUCGACCGGCGCACGGGUGAGUAACGCGUAUCCAACCUGCCCACCACUUGGGGAUAACCUUGCGAAAGUAAGACUAAUACCCAAUGACGUCUCUAGAAGACAUCUGAAAGAGAUUAAAGAUUUAUCGGUGAUGGAUGGGGAUGCGUCUGAUUAGCUUGUUGGCGGGGUAACGCCACAAGGCGACGAUCAGGUAGGGGUUCUGAGAGGAACGUCCCCCANAUUGGAACUGAGACACGGUACCAACUCGUACGGGAGCA